GAUCAUGAGUCCUCCAACUGGGCAUGCGCCUGAGUGGCCGUUUGGUGGACCUUUUGAAAGUGCAGAGCCAGUAGCUGUGUUAACGCCUGCGCAAAAAGAUAAUCACCGCACCUUUUGCCAAUCACCUUUCUCCCUGCUUCCCGUGCUCUCCACACACCAACCACGCUGCUCCUUUAUUGGGCGUCCCAUAAAUACUCCUAGUCCCCUCCCCUUGCCUUCAGGGAGGUGGUUUUGAGGCUUGUUCUGUCUCCUUGCUUGGCUGCCUUGUAAGUAAACCCUCACGUUGCUGCAAACCUCGAUGUUUUGGUAUCUCAGCUUGCUGUGUUCCACCAAGAGGAACCUGGUUUGGUAACACCAAGGGGUAAACUUAGAGCUUCCAUCUUGGUGUAGCCAGCAGUGCCUAAGUCUCACAACCUGAAGGUGUCAAGUUCUAGAAGAGUGAGAAGAGUAAGAAAGAGAAGAGAGAAAGGCAGCUAAAUCACUGAUUUGACCCCCAUCCCUGGAGCCUGUGCAAUCCAAGAGUGAAUAGCAAAUGCUCCCUCUAAGACACCUCUGAGGAUUGUUCAUGGAGAUACAGAAGGGUAUGCAGGGGAGAUGGAGACAAAAGCACCUUCUUGAUAAUAUUCACUCAAGAAUGAUGGUAAACCAUGAAAUGAAUGACAGACAAAAACUGUGUAAGUUGAGGCAUACAUUUUCACUCUAUUUUGGGUGCUGGUACUCUGACAAUGUAUUUUAAGCUCAGCGUUCACUUUUUUCCCCCUCUCAUUCAAUUGUGUGAAAGCCACUCUUCUCAAGACUGACGCUUUUCUGUAGUAAUAUUGUCUGUUUAGAUUUGAAGCCACUAGGGCCCUGGCACAUACAGCUGGAAUACUCUAUUUUUAAAGAUAUAUUGUGUCUGUUAAUACAAAGGUCAUGAUGCAGAUUUUUGCACUUAGAAUCAGCAUGAGAAUGUGGGACUGUUCUUGCAGAUCUUGGCUCCAUCAGCAAAUAAAUUAAAAUAAACUGGCGGCUUGAAAUAGAAA